GCGUUGAUGGUGUAAUGGUUAACAUUGCUGCCUUCCAAGCAGUAGAUCUGGGUUCGAUUCCCGGUCAACGCA
rnacentral:tRNA from 1 species